AGAUUGAACGCUAGCGGCAUGCCUAACACAUGCAAGUCGAACGGUAACAGGCCCUCGGGUGCUGACGAGUGGCGGACGGGUGAGUAAUGCGUAGGAAUCUACCCACGAGUGGGGGAGUAGCCCGGAGAAAUCCGGAUUAAUACCGCAUAUGCCCUACGGGUAAACGGACGGGGACCGGAAAGGACCUCGCGCUGAAGGAGCGGCCGACUGUCCGAUUAGCUAGUUGGUGAGGUAAA
rnacentral:rRNA from 1 species